rnacentral:misc_RNA from 1 species
AUAUUCUUCAGCUCCCUAAUGAAGUUAUGAGCAGUCCAAUGGGUGCUCUUAUAAUGCCAAUGAUACAAAAUCUAGAGACAACAUUGAGAGCUGGAGCUGUCCCUCAAGCUCCGCAAUUCAGGCCUCAGUCAUCAAUAGCUGUUCAUAAAUCCUCAGUUAAUGGUCCUAGUGCAUCCACACACACAGUUGUUAGUGUGAGCAAUGAGGAGGUAAAAUCUGAAGACACCAAGUCUGAGGAGAAAACAGUAUCAGAGAAGGCAGUACCUCCUGCUGUCAAACCUUCAAGAGUAGAGAGGCAGUCGAUCAAUGGGGUUGCAGGCGACACUUUUGGGGAUGCUCGGAGCAAGGUGCAGGAG